rnacentral:rRNA from 1 species
GAUGAACGCUGGCGGCGUGCCUAAUACAUGCAAGUCGAGCGAACGGACGAGAAGCUUGCUUCUCUGAUGUUAGCGGCGGACGGGUGAGUAACACGUGGAUAACCUACCUAUAAGACUGGGAUAACUUCGGGAAACCGGAGCUAAUACCGGAUAAUAUUUUGAACCGCAUGGUUCAAAAGUGAAAGACGGUCUUGCUGUCACUUAUAGAUGGAUCCGCGCUGCAUUAGCUAGUUGGUAAGGUAACGGCUUACCAAGGCAACGAUGCAUAGCCGACCUGAGAGGAUGAUCGGCCACACUGGAACUGAGACACGGUCCAGACUCCUACGGGAGGCAGCAGUAGGGAAUCUUCCGCAAUGGGCGAAAGCCUGACGGAGCAACGCCGCGUGAGUGAUGAAGGUCUUCGGAUCGUAAAACUCUGUUAUUAGGGAAGAACAUAUGUGUAAGUAACUGUGCACAUCUUGACGGUACCUAAUCAGAAAGCAACGGCUAACUACGUG